GCUGGGGCCUCGGGCGGGGUGCACCGCUGUCCUUUCGCCGCCGUCCGGGCGGCACUGCACGUGCAGCGCGCGGUCCCCCACCCAGCGCAGCCCGCAACACCCCUGGUCUGCCGCAGGAGACCCUGCCGAUGCCACUCAGGGUCAAGACUCUGGCGCGGUGGAAACUGCAGAGCAAAAGGAAACACAGACAAAAACAGUGAGAAGGAGAGAGAGCAUGUGGGGCUUUGCCAGAGAGGAACUUGGAUGGCAAUCACCUAAGAACUCCAAACUCAGUGCCAGGGCAGACUGGUGUCUAUUUUGCAAUGUCUUCCAGUAGUUGAUAACUUUCUACUUUUAAAAUAAUUGGAAGAAUGUAAGCUCUCAACUAGUCCACUAGUCCCGAAACAAUAGAUACCAGCUGGCAGAGAUAAUAGCUGUCUGGAAGAGAGAGAUACAUACCACAUCAAAAAACAACAAAAAAAGGAUGGCUCAAGUACUCAAAAGGCAGCACUAAAAUAAGGCUAUGUCUCUUCCUGAGAAUACUCUGGACUUCAUUCUCUGAUUAAAGAUCACAACUGCUUCUUCGUUGAGGAAAUCAUGUAUUUCAAAGCCACCAAUGAACAAGAAUGACAAUCCAUGAAUUACACAGUAAACAAAUACUAUAUGUAUGAGACCGAUUCACUGUCACAAACCUGGAGAAGAAAACCCUUUUGAGGUUUAAAGCUGAGAGGGAGAUAAAAACUUGGUUGUACUACUUCUGGGAAAUGCUGAAGUUAUCCACGUGAUUUUCCAGUCACUGAUUAUUUUAGCAAAGUAACACAAACAGAGGAGGAGCUCUGGACUCUAGCUUCUCAUUUCUAAAAGAACAGAUGUAAUGGGAUGUAUUGGUCCAGCACUGAUAACAGGUUAUCCUACAAUCAAGUAUACUCUUUCCAGAAAGCUGAGUUAGGUAUGCAACUGCCUUUCUAAGCCAUGACUACAUUGCUAAAUGAAUCAUUGAUUUGGAAAAUCUGAAGUGACCUUCAGCUUGUUCUCCAGCUCUUCCUCAACAGAAAAGAGAGGCAAAAUCAGCAAAAUAUUGGAAAGAGGUAGUUUUUCUAAAGGUAUUUGUGGCAGGUAGAAGAUUGGAGGCCACUCAGCUAUGUGUGUAAGUGUGUGCAGGGAGAAAUUAGGUUCUAUAUUCAGAAGUGACAUUCUUUGUAUUUUCAGUGUGGCUCUAAAAACAGAGCCUUUUUCUUAUAGUUCAGAGUCAGACACUGCCCUUGGCUUCUCAGCCAUUCUAGUAAACUAUUUGUUACUCAGAAAGCCUCAAAUUCUUCAUUGAAUUUAUUUGGACCAGUUUUUGUGCACUUACCUCGUUGGCAUGGUAAUAGUCUUUUGAAUAACCAAUACUGUGAACAAUUAUACAAUUAAAAAUUCUACUUCCAUUAUUAUUCUUAACUUCUCCCUUUAUAUUUUGUUACAGUUAUGAGGUAUGUUUUAUUAACUAUUCUAGACAUAGAUCUAGCCCUGCAUUUACUCAGCACUGCCUUGCUCCUUUUCAUGAGGGGUGAUCUAGUUAGACAUAUCAAUAUUCAAUGAAAUGUAUAGAUUACCCUGAUAAAAUGGCUCAAUGAAGUUCAUGUAAGGUCAAUGGAAGAUUGAGGCAUCAUAUGCACUGAGCCACUAAUUGGUCUCAUACUAGUAGGAUAUAGCUAUCCCCACCCCCUAUAUCUUGAGUCUCCUUCCUCUUAGGUGCUGAGCAUUUCCAAAGGCUUCUCUAGCUGAAGCAGGUAUAAGAAAAUGAAGUGACAUAAAGCAUCAACCCUUAGGUAUAAAUGAUUGGCAAGUCUCAACCUUGCUAAAACUGAGACUUUUCAAUUAGCUAUGCUUAAAAGUUUCUACUGAAUUACUGAAGCCAUAAUUAUGUAUGUAAUUCAAGUUUCCUUUGAGCUGACCUACAAUGAAAGAAGUUACCUAAAUGACCUCUUAGGUCCUUUUCUCUCUCCAGCAAUCAUGGAUACUUUACGAAUCUCAUAAGGAGUACAGCUCAUUUAUUAUUAACACCAUUUUAGAAUGAAGGAAGAAGAGGCUUAGAAAGGUUUAGUAGCAGAGAAGAGAGCAGCCUUCUGAUUUGUGGGUUCCACAUUCUGGAUGCAGAAAACUUUCAGUCAUUCUUAUCUAUUGUGAGGCUUGUACCAGUUUCUCCAUAAACUUACAAAACCAAACCAUUUUGACAAGCUUUGUUCCUGCCUCUGACUUCUUUCAGAUAGUGGCUAACCAUCUUCUCUUGAUGAGUCAUUUUUGCUCUUCCUCAUUCCCUUCUUGAUGUUCAAGUAGGUGAACGUGAUGACUAUAAAAGGCAAGCAAUUAAUAUCUGGGGUUAGGCAGAGCUCUGUAAGCCAAUCUCCAAGAAUGUGCAAGCUCCUUUGUCCUUAACUGUAACCUUGGCACAUGAAAAGCAACUUCCAUUCCGUUUUACCAACAUUUCGGUCAAAGAUCAAUUGCCAUUGUAAUUAUAUCAUAUAUCACAGGAUGGGGAAUCAGUGAGAGGGCAGGCCCUUUAAACUAAUACAUAUCAUUAGCAUUUAAAGAACAUGAAAAACAAAUUGAACAUUAGUCCUCAUGUAAGUCUUUUUUCUAGAGCAAAUAAUUUUCCAAAUUAAAAUGAAUAAAUUAAUGAAAUUGUCACAUGUCUGAGAAUAAACUAGGUUGGUAAUGCCGUCAAGCUCUUAGCAAAGUUUAGCUCAUUGUACUUCUCUGUCUGAUCAUUAUAACAUCUAAUCAAGGGGAGCUUAAAUACUUCAAUGAGCUCUCAAAAUAAAUUUGAUCUGAGCAGCUCAGGUCUCAUGGAUUCCUAGGGUUACUGACUGGGUGAAACAUGUUUUUGUUUUAAUCCCUGUCUCAGCUCAAAGAGGAUUAAUGCCCGUAAUUCUGCUAUCCCCAUUUAAUUGAGAAAUGAAAUUUGAAGAGGCACCUCCUGGAACACUCCACUUUGAAAUAUGACCCAUCCACUGUCUAUAUAAUAAAUCUUCCUCUGCUCUCACACACUUAUCCACAUCCUUCCUAUCCCAAAGAAGGAGGAAAGAAAGUUAUUGUGUGUGUGUGUGUGUGUGUGUGUGUGUGUGUGUUUCUGUGCAUCUAAUCCAAAACACACAAUGUUGUUGUUUUAUUUUUCAAUUUUGGAAUUAUCCUAAUAAAGGCAUUCUCUGGGAAGCUCAGACUGCAUCUCAAACCUUUCUCUGACACUAGCAUCCUCAUUGGAACAAAUAGCCCUUUCACUAAAAGCAAUACAGUUAUUGCAUUCAUGUUAUAUGAUGGUAAUUUUCACUUUUGCUUUCAAUACAACAUUAAAAGAAAAAUUGUCUAUAGGAAAGAAAGAGGCAAUAUACUAUAUCCUGGAACUAAUUCUUUGGCAUCUGUAAAAAAGGGGGCCAUAAUUCUGAAUAGAGGCUCCUGUCCUAAAACAGACCCAAUGCUAAGAUCUAAUAGAAAGGGCACAGAGAAGCAUAAGGAAACUUAAUGUCACUUUCACGUUUUUUGUACAAGUUGAUGUGAGGAUCUAAAGAGGCAAUUUCUGUAAAAUGCCUAGUAGAGGACCAGGCAUAUAGUAAGCCCUCAGCAAAUGCUGGCUGUUAUCAUUAUGUUUUAUAAAGAAUUUUUACAUCUUCCUCCUAAGCCCUGAGGCUUCAUAACGAAGCCUUAUAUAUGACUCUCAAUGGCUCAAUGUCUUUCCUAACCUAAUGUAGAAAGUGACAUACCAUUGCUUCCAACAUAACCUAUUGGUCACAUGGACCAACAUAAGACCAAUGUGGGAUGACCCUGUACAUAAGGGUAAGAAGCAGGCAUCACUUGGGGCCAUCUCAAAGGAAGGUGACCACAACUGCCUAAUGGCAGUUGAAUCCUUUAUCAAGCUACCCUCAGUAACACUUCAGCUUUCAAGGACCAGGUUUUUGUGACUAUUGUGAACAGGAUUUUAGUGAAUGAAGAUAUAUCCCAAAAUAACAUUUCACUUAAAAGUUGAAUAUCUGUUAUCAAUUUACAAAUGCUUUUAUGUUAUAUCUCACUUGAGCUUCAAAAUAACCUUUUAAGACAGACAAGAGUAGAAACUACUCCAGUGAUUUCAUAGAUAAGGAAACUGAAGAUCAGAGAGACUUAAUGAUUAACCUAAGAUUUAAACUAGAUAUCCUCCUAGCAUUCUCAUGGCACUUAUUCUGCUAGCGUAGGCUGCCUUGUAUAUUUUUUAAAUGACUAUCUGUUUAUGUGCUGGUCAUGGGGUUUGCAGCAAAUCACAAGUGUGUAAUUUUUUUUUCUUAAAGGCAUUUAAUCUACUUUCUAAAAAUCACUAGAAUUCAGAAACUGAUACUACUUCUUUUGUUUCAUUAUUUGCCUCCCUGCCCCCAACACUCAUACAUAUUUAGAGACACCCAUGGACACUCAUGAACACACAUAUUCUUCUUUCUAGUCCCUUAUCAAUGGCAAACUAAAGUUAUUUUAGAAUAUACUAGCUGUCAUUGUGCCACAGAGAAACCUCUCUUUCAUGCAAAUUGAUAUAUGUAUAUAAUCAUACAUGUUUAUAUAUAAACUUUGUAGCUUUCCUCCCUCUUUUCUAAAAUAAAUUAUGAAAGGUUGUAUGUUCAGGCUUCACGCAGAAUUUUUCAUUUGAGGGAGACUUUUUCAACCCUUUCUAUUUGAGUUGGUAGCCAUUUAUAUGAAGAGAAAAUGAAUACUAAUGGAAAAUCCUAGAGUGGAUUUGGAAAAUCAUUAUAACAGUUCUGCUAUAGGUUUGGGCCUUUGACAAACCACCUAUUCAAGGAUGAAAAAUCCACUAUUUCUCUUCUGCAUUUCUUUUUCCGAAUACAGCUAGAUUGAAUAACAGGCCAGAUAAAGGAUUCAGAACAAUUGCUUUACUAAGUAAUAGUGAGCCCAUGUUCUAACCAAUGGGACAGAAACUGACCCUCUGUAUCUCUGACACAGUUGCCUUUCAUUGACAGAUUUACAGUGGAGGGGUUGGGAGAGCAGAUGAAUUAAAAAAAAACAAAAGCAAAUCAAGAUCCCCCAUAAAUUUCACGAUCCCCACAUCUUCCACCUCAGCACCUAUUAGAACACCUUACUCUUAAAUUCUGCACAUGUGGAGAUUUAUUUGUAUCCCAGAGGUUUGCUCAGAUGUUUCCUCUGUGCUUUCAAUGCAGGCCCACCCUUUUCUUUCUUCAUAUUAAAACCAUAUAGAUUCUCCUUGAAGCCUUCUCAACUGGUAAUAAUCAUUUACAUCCUUGCUAGUGCUUAUGAUUUUCGAAUUACUUUUAGAUAAUCUAACUCAGCGAUCUCCACACAACCUUAGACACUUAGCCCGGCAAGUAUUGUGCUUUUGCUUUCAUGGAUGAGAAAAAGGAGACUUGGAGUGCUUUGAUUAGCAAACAAGGUUACAGAGCUAAAAAAGGAGUGACACUGGAGUAGAUCCCAGCUUAAAUGAAACCCACUGCUUUACCUGCCCCUAUAGCCUGCAUGAUAUUUCCCUAUUCUGAGUGCUUGGAGCUCUUGGAGUCUCUUACAUCUAAUGUGAUCAUUAAGAGGUACUAACUGUCUGAUUGCUUCUUGUGUGCAGCUAACUCACUGGUGACCCAGCACUUUGGGAGGAUGAGGAGGGUGGAUCACAAGGUCAGGAGUUCGAGACCAGCCUGGCCAACAUGAUGAAACCCCGUCUCUACUAAAAAUACAAAAAUUAGCCAGGCGUGGUGGCAUGCACCUGUAUUCCCAGCUACUUGGGACACUGAGGCAGGAGACUUGCUUGAACCCGGGAGGCAGAGGUUGCAGUGAGCCAAGAUCGUGCCACUGCACUCCAGCCUGGGCGACAGAGUGAGACUCCAUCUCAAAAAUAAGUAAAUGAAUAAAUAAAAAUAAAAUAGAUUGAGCCUCCACAUUUUGCAUGCAGCUUUCUUGGUGCUUGUCCUUCUCCUGUGCUUACUCAAAGAUGGGACAUUGUGCACAAUGAGAAGAGUAUUGGGACCAGUAAGGAAGAAUGAGUCAGAUAUUGUGGGACCUCUUUUUUUGUUGUUUUUUUUUGCUCCCAGAAAUCUUUGAGGUAAGUAACAUAGUCAAUUGAGGUCUGGAGUUAUGUACUCCAUUUAUUCAUUUUUUCUUAACAUAGUCCCUCCUUACUAUGUGAUAUUCUCUGUCCUAGACCUUGAAAAUACAAGUUAAAUAUGGCAUAUUCUUUACCUCUAUGAGCUUAAAAUUGAGUGGGGAAAGUUUCAUUUUUUCUUUGAAAUGAAAACAAACUUAAGUACCGAUAUGCAUGAGAAAAAUAAAUUGUUCAUUUCUUUACCUACAUCUCAUCAGGAGUAAACACAUUCUCUCUCUGGCUAAGCCAAAUAUACCAUAAAUCCCUCCUAAAAAAAUACCCUGAAAUUGAGAAUCCAAUUUUAAUGGCUAAAUUAUAUUUACCUUGAACUGAGCAUUUUCUAUUAGGAUUUACGUAUGCAUCUUGGGGAUUCUGAAUGUUGGACUUUUUUUUCUUUUUUCUUUUAGAUUUUAACCUGAAUGGAAAAGACAAUAUGAGGGUGAUGAAAGACUCUAGAUGGUCCGUCUUGGCUAUUAACUACUGUUCCGGAAACAAGGAAGGAGUAUAAGACACUGAAUCAGGGCAAGAAGUACAUUCACCCUCCUACAAGCUAAAAAAGAAAAAAAAGGUAGCAAACCACCUUCCAAAUUAUUCACAAACUUUAGAAUUUCUUCUUCAAGGUCCAAAGAGCCAGCUUGAAAUGUUAAGAUAAUUGGUGAACUUACAGGAAUAGAAAUGGCCCUUAAGGAACAAAAAAAUUUCUCAUACUUUUAGAGACUGUAAAAAGAAUGACCAAGCUUCCGUAAUUUUGUUCUAGUCCACAUUUUCAACAUUAACUACUAAAUCCUUUAUACAAAUGCACUGUCUAUUUAGACUGCUUUUCCUAGAACCCCAUACAUCUUUUUCUGGUUCUUUCUGAUGAUCAUAUCACCCCUUGAAAAAUCCAGAUUAAAAAAAAAAGUAUGAAUUUACAUACACUUAUAUUCCUUGGUCUUUCUCCAUAAAUAUACCUGGAUCUCUCUGUUUUGGUUGUAAGUGUAGAAGUUGGUGGAAUCCUAUUUCCAGUAGGGGUUAAUUAACCAAAUGGGAAUUCUAUACAUUGGAUCUCACAAUGGAAUAUUUAGAAAUAAAUCUGUAAGAAGGCCUGGGAAGCAUAAAGGACCCAGGGGGAGAAAACACAGUCAAUAAGGCUAGAAAUGGAAGAAUCCCUUUUAAAAAUCAAACUGAGAAAAAAAGAAGCAGAUGUCAAAAGCUCGGUAUGAAGUCAAGUCACAGGGACAAUGAAAUCCAGAGUAGGGAACAGAGGUCAAGAGAUUAGGGGAGGGGUUAUUUUUGGGAAAAAAAUCAAGAAGAGUGUAAUUUAUCACUGACAUUUAAUUGGCCUCCAUGGUGAGAUGCAUGGAAUUACCACCAGUAUUUAAAAGGCUAUAGACAAGGAAGACAGAAUCAAUCAAUCAGAUUUCCAACUGAACUUAUCCCUCUGUUAAGUGUUGUAGCAACAGAAAAUACAUGCUUCCUUAAGGGAAGUUAGAAGACCAAGGUAGCAUAUGAAUCAAUUAGAAAAUACUGUUUCACCGUACAGAAUACUGGUUUCUACAGUCCCUCUAAAACACCCUUGCUCAAAGUGAUUGAUUAGUAAAUACUUGUUAAAUAAACCUAAGAGCUGUUUGUGUUUUCUAGAUUCUAUACACUAUAAAAUUAGAGGGGAGAAGAAAUUUAACAAGGGUAAAGGGCAAGACAGAUCUAAAAGGAGAUGGAGCCUGAACUAUGCAUUUGAUAGUAAAAGAUAGGGGCAACAAGAAGGAAGAGAAGAACAAAUGGGAGAAAAAUGAAAAGGGAUGAGUAAAAUAAUGCCUCAAUAAAUUAAAUCAUUGCUCAGAUGUUAAGCCAAAAUUCCAGAGCCUAAAACCCAGUUGUCUAAUCCUAUUCAUUAGUAUUUCAUCCAAAAACGUACACAUUUCUCUCCUUCACAUAAUACCUCACUUAAAUGUUUCUGGUAUUCAUUGAUGAGUAUCACAUAAAUGUCCUUUCCUACUUGCCCAUGUACAUAUGAAUGAAUCACAAAGCCUUACCCUCUUGAAGCCAGGCAGGUCAGAGCUCAAGAACGACCUUGAACAAGCUAUUCUUUGAACUUCAGUCUCUGCAUCCUGUAAAAGGAGAAGGUUGUAGUCCUCUGUGGUUUUUAAAUCUAAAGCAAACCUUCACCACAUAGUAUUGUUUUUAUUUAAAUGAUUUCAGUCUGAAGAUAUACACAUAUAAUGGUCAAAAUGAAUAUGUUGAUUUCUGUACAAAUUAAUGUUUUUUGCUAUUUGCACUGAUAAAAUUGAAACAAACACAAUGAUAACAAAGUAGCUAUUUAACUUAAUGAUCAUUUAAUUUUUCUUUUGAUAAUGCAUGUUUUUAUCUGGACUAAUACGAUGUAAAUUAUAACCAACAAGUUUUAAAUAUUCUCUCAUUUGAAGCAUCUGCUCAAUGAAGGAGAAUCGCAGAUAUGUGAACUCCUCCUGCUUCUGCUGUUUGUAGGAAGAGGCAGACUUGAAACCCUGCAUUGUCUGUGGCCUAAACAUUGCACAGAUGAUCAAUUUGUGAAAUAAGGGAUUUUUUAUUUGUAUUUGCCUAAAUAGAGAAACGCUAAUGGUGUGUUCCAUCAAUUAAAGAGAAAAGAAAUAAAUCUACCAAUACUACUGCAUUUGUUCAUUCAUAAAUUCAUUCAUUCAUUCCUCAUUCAUUCAUAUGCUAGAUCUUUGUAAUAAAAAAUUGAAAAAAAAUUAAACUCUUCAUUAUAAGUCUCAUCCUAGGAAGACAGACAAGUACACAUAUGAUAAGACAAGAAAAUUAAACUUUCUCAAGUGUUAAAGAGCAAGCACCAUCAUAUGUGUUUUUUAAUAUCACAUUGCGUUUAAUCUAAAUGCGCUAAGGAAACACAGGGCCAACCAGGGAGCUUGAUGUAAGUUUUUUGAUAAAUCUUAAUAGUGAAGAAUGGGGUGUAGAUUGUUAGAAAAAGACAAAUCCAUGGGGAUUUGAAUGUUAUUCGUACUGUUUUGAGUGGACAUAAGACAGUCCUGUGUAACUAGAGAAUAAAGUACGUUUAGCACCGUGAUGGGAGAAGAGAUGAGAAAGAUAAGCUGGAUCAAAUGACUUAAAGGACUUGAAAUCCAUCUUAAAAUAAAGGCUUCUACGAUAAAAAAAAAGGUAACUAAAAUCAAAGUGCCAAAAGGAAUAAGAAAAAGGUAAGUGAAAUCAAAGUUUUCUAUUAUAGAAGGAAAAUGAGUUGUUAUUUAUAAUGAAAAAUUGGAGAAGACAGAAACUGGUUAGGGAGUGGUUGACAUACCCCAUAACAUGAGGAUCUGAGGGCCAAGGUAUUAUGGAGAAUGGAAUUAUGGAGGAUAGGGCGAGACAAGAGACAUUUCAGAGAAAAAAAGCUGUGCUCCACAACCAGCUGUACUAGAACUUGCUAUUGUUCUCUGACGCCAAACCCUCCAUUGGGGUAAGCUAUGUUCAAUCACCUUCAUCUCGUAAGUGUUCAAGUGGGCUUUGCAGGAAAAUUGGUAUCUACUACUUCAGGAGGGAGACUCUUUAACCCAGAAGAAGGCAAAAAAAAAGUUUGAGCUGCCAAGUCUUAUUUGUGUUUAAUGUAUUUUAUCGAAUUAUCUUGAAGACUCAGUUCUUAGUUCUGUGUCAUAAAUAUGAACACUAUAUUUCCUCCAUUUGGGAAUUUUCAGUACUUUCCUUAAAAGGAGGCUAGCAAAAUGUAGUUUUUCUACAAACUCACUUACAUGGGUUGAAAGAGGAGUUUAUUUCCUAAGAUGUACUAUCUUGAAUAUUUAUUUUAGAUAAUUAUUUAUGCUUACAG
rnacentral:lncRNA from 1 species